GAAGAAGGCCUUCGGGUUGUAAAGCUCUUUCGGCCGGGAAGAAAUCGCAUGGGUUAAUACCCUGUGUGGAUGACGGUACCGGAAUAAGAAGCACCGGCUAACUACGUGCCAGCAGCCGCGGUAAUACGUAGGGUGCGAGCGUUAAUCGGAAUUACUGGGCGUAAAGCGUGCGCAGGCGGUUUUGUAAGACAGGCGUGAAAUCCCCGGGCUCAACCUGGGAACUGCGCUUGUGACUGCAAGGCUAGAGUACGGCAGAGGGGGGUGGAAUUCCACGUGUAGCAGUGAAAUGCGUAGAGAUGUGGAGGAACACCAAUGGCGAAGGCAGCCCCCUGGGUCGAUACUGACGCUCAUGCACGAAAGCGUGGGUAGCAAACAGGAUUAGAUACCCUGGUAGUCCACGCCCUAAACGAUGUCAACUAGGUGUUGGGUGGGUAAAACCAUUUAGUACC
rnacentral:rRNA from 1 species